AGAGUUUGCUUCUGGCUCAGGAUGAACGCUGGCGGCGUGCUUAACACAUGCAAGUCGAACGAAGCACUUUAUUUGAUUUCCUUCGGGACUGAUUAUUUUGUGACUGAGUGGCGGACGGGUGAGUAACGCGUGGGUAACCUGCCUUGUACAGGGGGAUAACAGUUGGAAACGGCUGCUAAUACCGCAUAAGCGCACAGCAUCGCAUGAUGCAGUGUGAAAAACUCCGGUGGUAUAAGAUGGACCCGCGUUGGAUUAGCUAGUUGGUGAGGUAACGGCCCACCAAGGCGACGAUCCAUAGCCGACCUGAGAGGGUGACCGGCCACAUUGGGACUGAGACACGGCCCAAACUCCUACGGGAGGCAGCAGUGGGGAAUAUUGCACAAUGGGCGAAAGCCUGAUGCAGCGACGCCGCGUGAGCGAAGAAGUAUUUCGGUAUGUAAAGCUCUAUCAGCAGGGAAGAUAAUGACGGUACCUGACUAAGAAGCACCGGCUAAAUACGUGCCAGCAGCCGCGGUAAUACGUAUGGUGCAAGCGUUAUCCGGAUUUACUGGGUGUAAAGGGAGCGCAGGCGGUGCGGCAAGUCUGAUG
rnacentral:rRNA from 1 species